CUGGAACCUGAGACUCAUUCUAUCCAACCCUCCCUCCUUCCCUCCCUCUCUCCAUCACGUGGGUUAGAUCAGCAUCAUGGUCCUAAGGCUCUCUCUACCUCCUCCAGCUUCCCUCCUCUUUUUCCUUCACAGGAAUUCCCCCCAGUUUAUCUCUUGCAUAUUUCAUUUCAUCUCGAUGCCUUCUUCUCAGAAGACUUGAGCUAAGACAGCAUGUUGUUCCAUCUCUACCAGUAUGAUAGGGAUUCCGAAAUUCUGUAGAAACUAAGUGUGAUCUGAAGCUUAAAGUUCAGUUAUUAAUCGUUUCUCAGAGUUCCAGGAUAACGUUACUAGUUUUCAAGCAUGAAAUGCUUCACAAGAGAGCUGUUGACUUCCAGCCUGACCAAAUCCUUUCACGUUGUGGCGUGCAUGAUGCACGAUCGUUUUGGAAUGUCUCUGAGAUGACUUCUGCAGGGGCAUGAUACUUUUUUACAGGAGCAAAUGGUACCAUGAGGAGUACGAGAAUUUCUGUCAGGAAGGGUAGAAGUCAUUUCCACGUGGGAGCUUUCUGGGAUUGAAGAAGGAAGGUGUUUACUCAGAAGCUGUCUGGUUUCAGGAGGAAAUCCAAGUGGUGUUUUCUAAUAUGGGGGAGGGUUUGCCUUUCCUUGCUUAUUUAAGGAAAAAAGAAGGGAAAGAAACUUGUUUAAACAGGUUCUUACAGAAUUGUUUUCGCCAAGUGAAUGUUCUACGUGGUAUACUCGGUUUGUUAUAGGAGAUUUAACAGGGACAAAGACUUUCGCUAGUUCUUGAGGAAGCUCUGUAAGUAAUGCACAUGAAGGGUAAUCAUUGUGCUUAAAGAAACUGGCAUGAAUGGGGUUCAGAUUGAGUAGUGAGAAAUGCACCAGAGUUGGGUUUGCGCCUUGAUUCUGCUCUUUACAAGUUGUAUGAUUUGGGGAAAUUCUCUAAAACUGUUUUCUUACUUCUAAAAGUGGAGAUAAUUACACCUGUCUCAACUAUAUCACAGACUUAUUAUAAGAAUCAAGGGGGAAAUGAAUUUUGAAUCAUUUGUGAAGAAUAUAAUGAUAUAAAAUAAGAAGUACUAUAAAGCUGAAAUUUGCAUGAUUUUAAC
rnacentral:lncRNA from 1 species